rnacentral:rRNA from 1 species
UACGUAGGUGGCAAGCGUUGUCCGGAAUUAUUGGGCGUAAAGCGUGCGCAGGCGGUGAUGUAAGACAGUUGUGAAAUCCCCGGGCUCAACCUGGGAACUGCAUCUGUGACUGCAUCGCUGGAGUACGGUAGAGGGGGAUGGAAUUCCGCGUGUAGCAGUGAAAUGCGUAGAUAUGCGGAGGAACACCGAUGGCGAAGGCAAUCCCCUGGACCUGUACUGACGCUCAUGCACGAAAGCGUGGGGAGCAAACAGG